AACGGCCGUACCAUGCUGAAUAUACCGGUUCUCGUUAGAUCACCGAAGUCAAGCAUCAUUGGGCGCGGUCAGUACUUGGGAGGGUGACCACCUGGGAACA